UAGGUCAGUUAGACCCAGAGGGAGAAG
rnacentral:piRNA from 1 species